GCCCUUCAGGCCUAACACAUGCAAGUCGAGCGGUAGCACAGAGAGCUUGCUCUCGGGUGACGAGCGGCGGACGGGUGAGUAAUGUCUGGGAAACUGCCUGAUGGAGGGGGAUAACUACUGGAAACGGUAGCUAAUACCGCAUAACGUCGCAAGACCAAAGUGGGGGACCUUUCGGGCCUCAUGCCAUCAGAUGUGCCCAGAUGGGAUUAGCUAGUAGGUGGGGUAAUGGGCUCACCUAGGCGACGAUCCCUAGCUGGUCUGAGAGGAUGACCAGCCACACUGGAACUGAGACACGGUCCAGACUCCUACGGGAGGCAGCAGUGGGGAAUAUUGGACAAUGGGCGCAAGCCUGAUCCAGCCAUGCCGCGUGAGUGAAGAAGGCCCUCGGGUUGUAAAGCUCUUUUGUUGGGGAAGAAAAGCAGUUGGUUAAUACCCGAUUGUUCUGACGNUACCCAAAGAAUAAGCACCGGCUUAACUUUUGNUGCCAGCANGC
rnacentral:rRNA from 1 species